ACAGUGGGGUUAAUCAAAGAACGAGAAAAAAUACCUGAGUUUUUGGUAGUGCUACGAAGAUUGGUAAAAGAAAAGAGAAGUUAGUGUUUGAACCGGAGAUCUGACCCGAAUGUUAUCAGCACUAAAGGGCUGAAGAAAUGGAGGGCCAGGUUAAACUGCAAGAAGGGACUACCUCGACCUCCCAAUGAGGUAAUACAAUUCAUACGAAAUAAUAAUUUAAAAAUUAAAAGAAUACUAUGAACUUAAUUGAUAACGAAUAGAGGAACAGAACAGAAUAUUACCAAUAUUAAAGAAUUUAAAAACUUUCAAGGAGAUCCCCCUUUCCAACCAUGGAUACUAAUAACAAGAGCACUCAGAGGGCGCAAACCACCGCCAAGGCAACACCAACGUCCUCUCAACGAUUAGCCAGAGAUGAUUUUUAAAAUGAGAAUAUCUGAAAUAAACUCGACUGCUCUCACGAACGAGAAUACUAAAAAUAAACCCGACCACUCUCAGAAAUUAAGUAAAAAAAAAAAUAAAACAGGAAAAAAUAAUCCAGAAUCCUUGUCUGGUACUGGAUCGAUCUCAAAAUCUAAUCAGUUCGUACCAAACAUCCCUGAAAGUUUCAUCCGAAUCCAUCCAGCGGUUCUUGAGAUACCUUGUCCACGGACAAACAAACAUGACUGAAAACAGUACCUCUGUCUUCGUGGAGGUAAUGAUGCGAGACCAGCAAUUUUUGAAGAGAGGCAAGUACUAAUAUCGAUACUAUCGACACCAGCAGUUGACUGGUAUUUCAUUUUGUCGACCUCGAAAGUAAUGAUAACCUCCCCGGGAUUUAAUCUCAGAAUCUAAAGAACGCAAAAGAAUUAUUGCAAAGCACAAUCUUCCGAUCUUUUGUGGGCACCAAUAAUAGAUUUUAAAAGAGGAAAGCCGAAACUGAAAAAUCCAGAAUUUGAUCUCAAAAUCUUAACCAAAAGAAUUAUCGCAAUGCAUUUUUUGCCGAUGUUUUGUGGCACCAAAUAAUAGAUUUCAAAAGCAGGAAGGAGAAACCGAUAAACCCAGAAUUUGAAACCGUUUCCUCCAUAUGAUGAUUUAGGCAAAAUUUUGAAUAUAGUAAUAAUCGAUACUUGGAACAUUUCUGAUUGGUCAAAAGAAAAAACAAAGUUGAAUAUCGUCUUUAGAAAUAACGACGGCACAGAAGUUUGUUAAUAACAGAAUUCUUUCGAUACUAAUAUACGAAAAACUGUUGCCACAAAUGAAGACGCUUGUAACAAAACAUAUUAAUUAAUAAUGAGAUCUUCAAAGAGAUUCAUUAUGUUUGCUGGUCUUUUUUCAUGGAACUUCAGAGAAGUACAGCAGAAAAAGUAUAAACUAAUGAAUUGCUAAAUGGGGCGACGUGAGACAGGAGAAGUAUACAGUUAUGGGGUAAAUAAGUACGUUGAGGAUUUCUAAAAAGAUUUAAUUAUAAUGCUUUCGGAAACCUACAUUGAUGUGUCUGCGUCAAAUCAUCCGCGAUAUUUUUAAUAUUCUUGAAAUGCAGCAUAAUUAAUAAUAACAAGGUUUUGUCAUUCCGCUUCGAAUAACUUAGGUGUUUACCCAUUGGAAGGUCAUAAAAUUGGAAUUUUAGAAGAAAAAUACAGAAGACAUUCGACUUGAAAUUUGAAAGCUGAACUUUACAAAUAUAUAGUGAUGUUGGACCUAUCCCGAAAUGAUCAACGACAUGAAGAGUUUAGCCUCCAGCCUACUUUGAUCAAGCAGACCAAUGACCAAAAGCAUUCCAGCCAUGACCAUCAACGAAAACACUACUGCGGCCAUGCUCUUUGACCAAAUCCUACCAGAACCCAUCUCUCAACCAAGAAUCUCCAAUAACGAAAUACUCACUCAUUGU